rnacentral:rRNA from 1 species
GGCAGCAGUGAGGAAUAUUGGUCAAUGGACGAGAGUCUGAACCAGCCAAGUAGCGUGCAGGAUGACGGCCUUAUGGGUUGUAAACUGCUUUUAUAAGGGAAUAAAGUGAGCCUCGUGAGGCUUUUUGCAUUACCUAGA